AGCAGCCGCGGUAAUUCCAGCUCCAAUAGCGUAUAUUAAAGUUGUUGCAGUUAAAAAGCUCGUAGUUGAAUUUCGGGAUCAAUUUGCUGGUCGUGCCUUCGGUACGCACUGGUAUUAUUGGUUUCUCCUUUCUGAUGAAUCGCGAUGUCAUUAAUUUGGUGUCGUGGGGAAUCAGGACUGUUACUUUGAAAAAAAUUAGAGUGUUUAAAGCAGGCUCACGCUUGAAUACAUUAGCAUGGAAUAAUGAAAUAGGACGUUUGAUUCUAUUUUGUUGGUUUCUAGGAUCGACGUAAUGAUUAAUAGGGAUAGUUGGGGGCAUUAGUAUUCAAUUGUCAGAGGUGAAAUUCUUGGAUUUAUUGAAGACUAACUACUGCGAAAGCAUUUGCCAAGGAUGUUUUC
rnacentral:rRNA from 1 species